UACGUAGGUGGCAAGCGUUGUUCGGAAUUAUUGGGCGUAAAGGGCGCGUAGGCGGUUUGUUAAGUCGGCUGUGAAAGCCCGGGGCUCAACCCCCGGAGGGUCAGCCGAUACUGGCAGACUAGAGUACGGAAGAGGUAGCUGGAAUUCCCGGUGUAGCGGUGAAAUGCGCAGAUAUCAGGAGGAACACCGGUGGCGAAGGCGGGUCUCUGGGCAGUAACUGACGCUGAGGAGCGAAAAGCGUGGGGGAGCGAACAGG
rnacentral:rRNA from 1 species